rnacentral:lncRNA from 12 species
GGGUAGUUAACUAUUCAGAAGAGACUCUCCAGCCCCCCAUGUAAGCCACAGUCUAAUCAGGCACAAAAUAUAGGAUGCCCUAAUCACCUCACCAGUUUUCACAUUUCUUAAAUAAAAUUUACUUAUUUACCACCGAAAAUUAACUAAAAAUGUUGACAUGUGACAAAUGACGCCCAUCUUGAUAGUUGUUUUUAAAGAUCGCCCCUGACAUUAACAAGUCUACAUCGUGCUUUAUGACAUUUAAUUAGUCAUAUUUUAUUUAAUUAGCAUGGUGAGACAUCGAAAGCAAUUCAAACGUUUUCUGAAAUGCCCGAACGGGAAGACCGCUGUUCCAUACGUUGCGAGAUGCUGGGCAAGGACCUGCUCCUUGCUGACCCCGCCGCCCGCCCUCUGGCUGGGGAAUGGGACCACCGUCAGAUUGCCGCAGACGACUUCAGGACCCUCAUCAAAACCUGGCUGCCGCAUGCACACGCUUUCCCAGGCCAGGUCAACCCAGGGCAAGGCUCAGCUUGAAGCUACUGAUGAUUCUCAGAGCACCAGCACCCUGCAGGUGCUGGGGAGACUGGACAUGUGUUGAGCA